rnacentral:rRNA from 1 species
AUAAGUAAUGUGAAUUGCAGAUUUCAGUGAAUCAUCGAAUCUUUGAACGCACCUUGCGCCUUGUGGUAUUCCACAAGGCAUGCCCGUUUGAGUGUCAUUAAUUCAUCAACCUCAAUUCUUUUGAACUUUUGAGGCUUGGUUUUGAGGGUUUUUGCG